rnacentral:misc_RNA from 1 species
GUAGGUGAACCUGCGGAAGGAUCAUUAACAUAAUUGUAUAGUGGAGUCAUGCAAAUGAUUCUGCUAUAUUCAUUAUAAAAACCAAAAUUUACCAAUCCGUGAACUAUAAAAAAACAUGAAGGCUGAUUUAUUAAAUUAACGAAUGUAGCAAUUUGUUAGUCUUGAGUCAGAGUGAAUACCAAUUCCACCCAUUUUUUAACUAUAUUAACCCAUUACCGUAAUGUUGUUAACUCAGCAUACUAAAAUCUUU